UGGGUUAAAACUCCCUGUGCCCAGAUGUCCUAACCACAGAGCAAAACUCAAGAGGAGGCGAGGGGAGACCAGCUCCGCUGGCCUACCCUCUCUUUCUCCCAAGAUGGUAAAGCAUUCUUGGAAAUUCCCGUAAAGCAUCCAAAUGAGCAAAUUCAAGGCUGGCUGCUGUCAGGUUUCCCAGAAGGAUUAGGGGCCGACUGGCCAGCUGCGCCAUCCCCCAGUUCUCUCUUAACUUCAAAGACUGGGUCCGUCCUUGGUCCCAGGAAAAGUGGGGCCUCCUGUGAAAGGCCCUGAAACUCUCUCAGUCCUCAGAACAGCCUACAUUAAGGUAUUGCUCUUAGGCCUCCAGGAACCUGUCUCUAAUGUACAGCGACCAGCGUGCUCUCCCCCUUCUCUCUCCUGCAAACACUUCUCCAAGGAAAGAAACUGGAGCUAGUGGAGGCAGGACCACCAUGCACAGAUGUGCAGGCUGUUCACUGCACAAGAGCUGGGGGGUGGGGAGGUGGCUGAAAUCCAGCCCUCUGCUUGCCAAGCUGUGCCCCUUGGCAUGGCUACCUCCACUCAGAGGAAGGGGUGGCUUUUUCUGAUCUGCACAUAGGGACCAUGCGGGCGAGCAGUGACCCUGGGUGGAGAGCGCAAAGAAUUACAUCUGGGGAAGGAAAGAAGCCAAUCCUUCCCCUGCCAUCACCUAAAUAGUCUAACCAGGUGUUCCCCAAGUGAUCGGAUAUGCUAAUAGGGCAGACUUCUUAGAAGGUAAUGGAAUAUGAUGGCUAAACCAGUAGGUCCAGUAAGGCUCUAUGUUUUAUUUCUCUGUGUCCUGAGUUCAGAUGACAGUGAAAACGAACUAUCGAGAUGUACUAAAGGAGGAUCAAAUGCCUUCUUUCUGUUAAACUACUUUAAGGAAAGUAAAGAUUUACAGUUAAGUAUAACCCCUCUAUGUUGGAAACACCAGGUUUUGGAAUUUUUCCCAGACACUGGGCUCUAGUUCCAUUUACCUUGAGCCUGUGGGUCAGGGAAAGUGAAGUGAAGUGGGCACUUUCUCAGGAAAAGGACCCUCCCCACGGAGGGUUGGGCUUCUCACCAGAGAACACACUCCAGACUGAGAAUGAUUCGCUGACAGUGUCAUCUGAAAGGUAGCAUCACACGGUGUACCACUUGGGAAGGGAACAAAUGCUUGUGGUUGCUGAAGAAAGGGUACCGGUCCCCCUCGCUGGCUGCUUUACACAGCAGGGAUGUUUGGCCAAGGUAACAAUACCUCGGGGCAGGGGCAGCUGCCCCCUCUCAGAAUUACCUUCCCAGCAUGAUUGCCUUUGCUGUCUGCCCAUCUGCCCAGGCUUCCUGAAGGUCCAGAAACAAGCUAUGGGCUGAGGAAGCUGAGAGGAAAAAUGAGGAAGGAGCAGAGUCUGCAAAUCACAGCUCUCUUUGUGUGUCGGAUGUGUCCAUAGGCCGGAGCUUGAAGUGGGGUCAAGCGAUGGAAUUAAAAUGCUUCCUGAGGCUCUGGGGACCCCUUAACUACCCUCAGUUCCCUGCCCUCACAGCCCAAGUCCUCUAUGGCUCCUUGGCCAGGCAAUUGCCUAUGAAUGAUUCCUGGGGGAUUUGGGGGGACAAGCCCUUCCCCAGGUUUCAGGAAGAGAGGCCUAGGCUCCUCAAGAAGCUCACAGUAUGCAGGGGCCGUCCUUGGUGGUGGGAUGCAUGUGAGCAUCUUAGCCGGGAAGGUCGGGCCAGCAUCAUAUGGGUCCUACAUGAUCCUCACAGGAAGCUGACCACAGAGGCAGCCGGGACCCUGGGCAACUUCAUUCCCAGAUGAGACGCCCUCCUCUAACCCCAUGACCCCUUUUGUUUUUCCCACUACCUCAGUCAGGACCUUGCCAAUAACAGCACACCCAGAGCCUGCCCACGCUUUGUGGGAAGAGCAGAUGAUAGGGCCAACAAUUCCUGAGCACCUACAGGUGCUGGACAUGCAGCAGAGUGCUCACUUUGCCGGCAGGAUUGCAUGGAAUCCCUCAGACAACCCUGAGAUGAAGCACCAUUACAAGUCUUACGGAUGAGGAACUAGAAUUUCAGAGAGGUUAAGCAAUUUACCCAAGAUCACACAGCCACUACGUGGUGAAGUGGAGACUCGAACCUAGAUUGUGUGGCUUUAGCACCCAUGCCCAUCCCCACCUUGAAGCACUGGGAUUUCCACGUCUUUAAUGAAAUUGGAAGGUUUAGAUAUAACAAGGAGGGAAGACCACAGGCCCCAUGACUCUAACAGCCAAGUUCUUCCAUGCGGGUGACAAGCAUAUCUGAGAGACACUUCUCACAGAAGGGGUUUGACCUGGGGACAGGGACCUUGCCUUACUCCCUGUAGCAUCCCAAGGGCCUGGAGCUGGGCUGGGCUCAUAGGAGAAUGUUUACUGAAGGGAUAAAGAAACUUCUCCUAGUUGCCCUUGCCCUGCCUUUCUCCCCCCUCUCUCCCAAGCUCUGAGCAUGCACUGGGCUCAGCAGGACCCCUGAGCAGGCACCAGCUUCUACCCAAGCUGCUCUGCAUCCUACACUGGCGGCAGCAUGGGUUAAACACCCAUGUCCACAGGUGGGCAGCUCCAUGAAUGUGUCCUGGGGAUUCAAACCGUUGAGGGGUUUUCUCCCACCCACAGAGCUGCAACCUCCCUUUGAUUUCCAGAAUUAUCACGUGUGUCCUUCCCUGGCUCCAAAGCCUCCAGAGGGACAAACUUAAACAGGAGAUUUUUAACUGCACCCUUGACCUCGAUCUCCUCCCCUUGAAUGAUCACAGGAUUGGUGGAGUUCAGACACUCCCACGGUGUGGCUGGCUCCCUGUAGAUCCAGGCAGCUGUGGUAUAAGACAUCAGCUACCAAACUGCAAAAAUCAGCAGCUAAGCUACAUAAGCACCUUGCGAUCCUGUUCCAGCUGUUAUCCUCCAAGUUUAUCCUCUAGAACAGCUUGAUAAAUCCCCGCACUAGGGAUGGUAGGAAUCAAAUAAGACUCUACCCUCGGGACGUUCACCAUGGCACCGAGGAGACAAAUGCGCAUGGAACAAUUAAAUACAAGAUUUGCGUGCCGUGUGUCAAGCACAGCUCAGAAAGGAGGGGUGGCGUUGGGGGCGCACAGAGAGACAGAAAAGACAAAGAAUUCAAGGACUGAGCUAUCAUGAGGUCCUCCCCUUUCUCCAUUCCCCCGCCCCAUUCAGCACGUCAUUCCCAUUCAAUUACCUAUUGCUACAUAACAGACUAUCCUCAAACUCCGUCGGCUUAAAACAACUUCUUACUCUCUCUUACACCUCUGCUGAAUGGGCUCUGCCGGCUGGUUCUCACGCAGGAUCUCUGCCGUGAGAGUCAUCAGAAGGCUCUACUGAGCGGAACAGCCAAGUGGCCGUCGCUCAUUCACAAGGCCGGCAGAGAUGUGAAUUUUGGUGAUGAACGCAGCCAGGGUUCUUGACAAGAGCACGGAUUUCUAGCCUUUCAGUGUGGCCUGGACUUCUUACAGGAUGGUGGCUGGUUUCUAGAGCAAGUGUUCCAGCAGUGAAGGUUCUAUAAGACACAGAUAGGUAACACAAGGCUUCUCAUAACCAAGCCUUAAAAAUUCCAGAACGGCACUCCCACCCAUAUUCUAUGGGUCAAGCAAAUCUCUGUGACCAGCCCAGACUGAAGAGGCGAGAAGCAUCACACGAACACCAGGAGGGAAUGAUUGAAGGCUGUCGUUUUGGAAACUGUCUACCACAACGUCCUUUAUAUAAAGAAUAAACUUCCUUUAUUGAGCUGAGAGAGGGAGAGGAAAUGAGCUAUGGGCUAAGGAAAUCGAGAGGAAAGAGAUGUUUUCUCUGUGUCUAGAAGAAGGUACUUCUCCAAGUUCCUCACCACUUGGUUCUCUACCACACAUCCCAAGGCAUAUUCUUAGAUUAUGUCCUAGGGGCAGAAUGUGGAAGAGGGUGGGAAAAAACCACUUACAUCCAUCAUCCUAACUCACCAGCCUUCAUCUGAGAAUGAGUUUGCUACGUGACUGGUGACUGUUGCUGCGAAAUUGUUUAUCUGCCCUUGCUGCAGCAUGACCUUUAAGGGACAGAAUCUGGUGCCAGUGACAUCCCAGCAAUUGUUGCCCUGGAAACCCGGAAGUCAAGGGAGGGAGCUUAUUGCCAAGAUGACCUCACAUAGAAAUCUCUUUGCUUUCUUGAGACCACCUGGCAACUGAGCUACAAAAGAUCCCAAGUGACAGUAAACAGGAAAACGAAACAGCCAGUCACCCAGCAUAUACAAGACAGAAGAAACCAGUCUUUUUAAAAGGUUUUGCCAGCGCCCGAAGAAAGCGUCUAUUCCAAAUGCCUCAACUUUUACAUGGCCCAAGUGUCUCAUUAAAUUCCGGUCAUUUAAAAUCUGGGUUCCCAACUGGUAUGUCACUUUAUUUUAAUGAUCUAUGUAUGCUUCCUAUGGAAACAUGGAAAAUGACUAUUUCUUUUUUUCAAUUAAACAUGUAACAGCCAGCAGAUGAAAGCCAGUUUCUCUCUUUGCCUGCUCCGGGAGCGGCCCCGGAAGGGGUUAACCAAGGCCCCUAGGACCCGGGGUGGAAAACUCUCAGUAACCAGAGCGCGGCCGAGCCGCGGUGCGCAUGCGCCCAAGCAGCGCCCCGCACGCCCGCCCGCGGCUCCCGGCUCCUGGCUGCCUGGUGCACAAAGAGCUGCUUUGUUCCCUCGGCUCUGUUUUAAAUAUCUGACGGCUAUUCCCCCCAUCCCUGCGCCAAAUCCCCCGGCCUGGCUGCAGGCGCGGCACAAGGGCGCAUUGUGGGGCCGAGCAAGGGGCGAAGGGGGCUGGGGCGGCCGCUCCGUUGGGGAUGCUCCGAUUUCUCCAAGUUGACUUAGCCAUUUGGGUCACCUGGGCUGAGUCGUGGGGGUGGGUGCAGAGAAAGCGGGGGGCGAGGGGUUUCAUCUCAUCGUCUUCCCCCCCCCCGCCCAGUUCCAGACUUAAAGAUUGGAACCUGGGGACCCUGGGAAUGAGCAGAAUCGUUUCCAAAGCAGGCUCGGGAGGAGGUACUGAGGUUUCAGCCAAGCACAGCCGGGGCGGGGCGCGGGGGAGAACGGCCCACCCGAGCCCCGGGGCUGUCAGGGGGCCGCGAACCCGCGAGGCCAGACGCUGGGUUUCUUAUCACUGCAUCGCUGUACAUAUUUAGAAAGUGCCGAUCACUCAGACACUUUGAAAAGCGUGGCAUUCCAGCGCAAACCAACCCGAACAAGGGGAAGGGGGGGCAGAAUCUUUUCUUCCUCCAAGGUCAGGGCCCAUAAGGCGCUGCAGAAAAAGGCAUCACACUAGGCUUUCUGCACCCACAGCUUGCAGGCUCUCGAGGUGCCCUGCUCCGUUUUAGGAAUAGCCUCGCGGUGUGGCCCCUCCCUCCCAAGGGCACUCUUCAAGCUCCCGAGGGAUUUCUUCAAGCAACACUAAGUGUCCUUUCAGCACUCUGUUGGCCGGUAAGCCCCCUAUCUCGCUCGGGAGGUGAUAGCAGACCCCAGCGGCCCCUGUGAGCAAAUCAGCCUGCCUCGAGCUUGGAGUUCCUGUUGUGACUCAGUGGGUUAAGAACCCAACUAGUAUCCACGAGGAUGCAGGUUCAAUCCCUGGCCUCACUCAUGGGUUAAGGAUCCAGCGUUGUCACAAGUUGCAGC